GAAAAUUAUUUAUGAUAUAUAAUAUAAGUUAUUUAGUAUGAGUAGAUUAGUUCGAAGUAUAAUAAUAAAAAAGUACUGUAAAGGAGACUUGAUUAGGAGAAAGAUUUUGUUAUUAAAUUACCUUUUGUAUUAGGGACAUUUAAAAUAAGAGUUUAGGGAGACUAUCCCGAAUUGCUCGUGGGCUAACUAAGAUUUAAAUUAUUGUUGCAUAAAUGUAAAUAACUUUUGGUUAGGGAUGAAAUAUUAGUCGAACAGUAGGAUAUCUGGUUUUCUUAUAAGUAAAUUGAAUUUAUAGAAUCAUUGGUUCUUAAAGUAUUAUUAGGAUUAGCUAAUAGUAAGCCAAUAUUAUGUUAAGAGGUUCUUUUAGAUAGAUUUAAAAAUGAUUAUUCAUUAAAUUUUGUUAUUAUUUAGAAAGCAAAGUAAUUUAUUAAAAUGAUAUUUGGGAAGUAUAAGAGUAUGAGAUAAAGUAAGUUAUUUUUAGAAAUAUUGAGUGUAUUAGUAGCUUAUGCUGUAUUUAUUUUAAUGAACAUGUAAAGAGAAUUAGAGUAAGACUAGGUGUUAUUAAGGAACUCGGCAAAGUAAUCUUGCCUGUUUAAUAAAAACAUGGUUCUUCGGGCUUUAAUGAAGAAUCUGGCCUGCCCGCUGAAUUAAAUUGAAGGGCUGCAGUAUUUUGACUGUACAAAGGUAGCAUAAUCAUUAGUCUUUUAAUUGAAGACUGGAAUGAAUGGUUUGACAAGGUUACACUGUCUCAGUAAUAAGGGGUUAAUUUUACAUUCUUGUGAAAAGGCAAGGAUAUAUUAAAGGGACGAGAAGACCCUAUAAAACUUGAUCUUAAUAGAUGUAUUAUUUAGAGAAUUAAUUUAAUAUGUUCAUUAAGAGUUUGCUGGGGCGGUAUUUAUUUUACAUAAAUUUGAUAGAAUGGCGAUGGUUAGCUUAGAAAUUGAUCCGGUAUUGAGGCCGAUAAAAAGAAGAAGUUACUUUAGGGAUAACAGCGUAAUGAUUUUUGAGAGUUCUUAUUGACAAAAUUGUUUGCGACCUCGAUGUUGGAUUAAGGAAU
rnacentral:rRNA from 1 species